CCUACGGGAGGCAGCAGUAGGGAAUUUUCGUCAAUGGGCGCAAGCCUGAACGAGCAAUGCCGCGUGAACGAGGAAGGUCUUCGGAUCGUAAAGUUCUGUUGAAGGGGAAAAAGAGCGGAGAGAGGAAAUGAACUCCGAUUGAUAUUACCAUUCGAGGUAGUCACGGCUAAUUCCGUGCCAGCAGCCGCGGUAAUACGUGGGUGGGGAGUUUUAUCGGGAUUGAUUGGGCGUAAAGGGUGCGUGGGGGGCCUGCUAAUUGUGGAGUGAAGGGUACCGGCUCAACCGGUAUAUGCACUGGAAACUGGCGGGCUAGAGUGCAGGAGAGGGCGGCGGAACUCCUGGUGUAGCGGUGAAAUGCGUAGAUAUAAGGAAGAACACCAGUGGCGAAGGCGGCCGCCUGGCCUGUUACUGACGCUGAGGCACGAAAGCGUGGGGAGCAAAUAGGAUUAGAUACCCUUGUAGUC
rnacentral:rRNA from 1 species